rnacentral:rRNA from 2 species
UCAAAACGACUCUCGGCAACGGAUAUCUCGGCUCUCGCAUCGAUGAAGAACGUAGCGAAAUGCGAUACUUGGUGUGAAUUGCAGAAUCCCGUGAACCAUCGAGUCUUUGAACGCAAGUUGCGCCCGAAGCCAUUCGGCCGAGGGCACGCCUGCCUGGGCGUCA